rnacentral:rRNA from 1 species
GAAAGCGUGGGGAGCGAACAGGAUUAGAUACCCUGGUAGUCCACGCCGUAAACGGUGGAUGCUGGAUGUGGGGCCCGUUCCACGGGUUCCGUGUCGGAGCUAACGCGUUAAGCAUCCCGCCUGGGGAGUACGGCCGCAAGGCUAAAACUCAAAGAAAUUGACGGGGGCCCGCACAAGCGGCGGAGCAUGCGGAUUAAUUCGAUGCAACGCGAAGAACCUUACCUGGGCUUGACAUGUUCCCGACGGUCGUAGAGAUACGGCUUCCCUUCGGGGCGGGUUCACAGGUGGUGCAUGGUCGUCGUCAGCUCGUGUCGUGAGAUGUUGGGUUAAGUCCCGCAACGAGCGCAACCCUCGCCCUGUGUUGCCAGCACGUCAUGGUGGGAACUCACGGGGGACCGCCGGGGUCAACUCGGAGGAAGGUGGGGAUGACGUCAGAUCAUCAUGCCCCUUACGUCCAGGGCUUCACGCAUGCUACAAUGGCCGGUACAACGGGAUGCGACACGGCGACGUGGAGCGGAUCCCUGAAAACCGGUCUCAGUUCGGAUUGGAGUCUGCAACCCGACUCCAUGAAGGCGGAGUCGCUAGUAAUCGCGGAUCAGCAACGCCGCGGUGAAUGCGUUCCCGGGCCUUGUACACACCGCCCGUCAAGUCAUGAAAGUGGGUAGCACCCGAAGCCGGUGGCCUAACCCUUUGUGGAUGGAGCCGUCUAAGGUGAGACUCGUGAUUGGGACUAAGUCGUAACAAGGUAGCCGUACCGGAAGGUGCGGCUG